rnacentral:rRNA from 1 species
AGUGAACGCUUUCUUUCUUCCUAACACAUGCAAGUCGAACGGCAGCACAGUAAGAGCUUGCUCUUACGGGUGGCGAGUGGCGGACGGGUGAGGAAUACAUCGGAAUCUACUUUUUCGUGGGGGAUAACGUAGGGAAACUUACGCUAAUACCGCAUACGACCUACGGGUGAAAGCAGGGGAUCUUCGGACCUUGCGCGAUUGAAUGAGCCGAUGUCGGAUUAGCUAGUUGGCGGGGUAAAGGCCCACCAAGGCGACGAUCCGUAGCUGGUCUGAGAGGAUGAGAAGCCACACUGGAACUGAGACACGGUCCAGACUCCUACGGGAGGCAGCAGUGGGGAAUAUUGGACAAUGGGCGCAAGCCUGAUCCAGCCAUACCGCGUGGGUGAAGAAGGCCUUCGGGUUGUAAAGCCCUUUUGUUGGGAAAGAAAAGCAGCAGGUUAAUACCCCGCUGUUCUGACGGUACCCAAAGAAUAAGCACCGGCUAACUUCGUG